GAUGAACGCUAGCGGCAGGCUUAACACAUGCAAGUCGAGGGGUAUAGUUCUUCGGAAUUAGAGACCGGCGCACGGGUGCGUAACGCGUAUGCAAUCUACCUUUCACAGAGGGAUAGCCCCAGAGAAAUUUGGAUUAAUACCUCAUAGUAUAGCAGUUUCGCAUGAAACCACUAUUAAAGUCACAACGGUGAAAGAUGAGCAUGCGUCCCAUUAGCUAGUUGGUAAGGUAACGGCUUACCAAGGCAACGAUGGGUAGGGGUCCUGAGAGGGAGAUCCCCCACACUGGUACUGAGACACGGACCAGACUCCUACGGGAGGCAGCAGUGAGGAAUAUUGGACAAUGGGCGCAAGCCUGAUCCAGCCAUGCCGCGUGCAGGAUGACGGUCCUAUGGAUUGUAAACUGCUUUAUACAGGAAGAAACACUACUUCGUGAAGUAGCUUGACGGUACUGUAAGAAUAAGGAUACGGCUAACUCCGUGCCAGCAGCC
rnacentral:rRNA from 1 species